GACGAAACGCUGGCGGCGUGCUUAACACAUGCAAGUCGAGCGGUAAGGCCCUUUCGGGGGUACACGAGCGGCGAACGGGUGAGUAACACGUGGGUGACCUGCCUUUAGCUCUGGGAUAAGGCCUGGGAAACUGGGUCUAAUACCGGAUAUGACUCCGCGGUGCAUGCUGUGGGGUGAAAGCCUUGUGCGGCUGGAGAUGGGCCCGCGGCCUAUCGAGCUUGUUGGUGGGGUGAUGGCCUACCAAGGCGACGACGGGUAGCCGGCCUGAGAGGGCGACC
rnacentral:rRNA from 1 species